UACGUAGGGGUCGAGCGUUGUCCGGAGUUACUGGGCGUAAAGCGCGCGCAGGCGGCGCGAUAAGACCGGCGUGAAAGCCCCCGGCUCAACCGGGGAGGGUCGUUGGUGACUGUCGCGCUUGAAGGCAGCAGGGGUGAGUGGAACUCCCGGUGUAGUGGUGAAAUGCGUAGAGAUCGGGAAGAACACCCGUGGCGAAGUCGGCUCACUGGGCUGACCUUGACGCUGAGGCGCGAAGGCGUGGGGAGCGAACAGG
rnacentral:rRNA from 1 species